GGACAUGUGAGGUGCUGGGGUUCACGUGCAGGGCUGCCUGAGGGCAGGUGGCUGCCGGAGACACUUGGGGGUCAUGGAGUGACCCCAGCCCUAUGGUACCCGCAGGACUACACCACAAUUCUCGCCUCUAUGCCUCAGUACCCCCCAUCCCGCUCGUUCCUCCCCAGUGACACCCAACACGGCAGAGCGGAGCAGAGCCCAGCGCCCUGCUGCAUGGACAGGACACAUUGCCCCUGUGAGUGACGGGAGGGUGUGAGUGGGGAGACCCACCCAUACUGGGAGGCUCUGGAAGCUACCCCACACCCCUCAGCACCACAAGGGCCCUGGCCAUGCUGCCCCUUGACCCCACAUGUUAGGACAGGGACCUGGUAUGGUUCCAAGCAACCCCAGGGCAGGGGAUCCCGGCUCUAGGCUCAGGUAACCCUUGGUCCCCACAGCUCCCAUCACCCUCCAGGCACAACUGGGGCUGGUAGUCCCUGCUUGGAUGUCCCCUGCUCUGCUGCUGGCACAGGGACAGCCCAUCCAGGGCUGCUGUGGGCUGAGCCCUGGCACCCUGUGACACUGAGUCAGGCCAGGGAAGUGGGAUGCUGUGGUGGCCCUGUGGGCUCAGACGUGGUCCCAAAGCUCCCGCUUCCUCCAGGGCUCACUCGCUGCAAUGUUCCCCAGGGGAUGGCCGUUCCUGCAGUGUCCCUGUCCCUCCUGACAGGGCCACCAAUGCCUGUCAGGGAGGAGAGAGAGCAGCUGCUGGGAUGCCAAAGGGCGGCCGUGGUGCAGCUGGUGAGGGAGGGAGCGGGGGGACGGUGGUCUCUGCAGUCCCCUCAUGUAAUGGCUGGUCUUCAAAGCUGCCCUUCAAGCAGCCACCGGUCCACUCAGUCUCCUCAGGGCCUCAAAGCCUCAGCUCAGGUCCCUGCUGGUUCUUGAAGUCCCCUCAGGUGACCGGCAGUCCCCACAGGACCUCCUCAGUGACCGUUCCUCUUCGCAUUGCCCUCCACUCCCCACUGCUCCCCGCAGUCCCCUCAGGACCCGCUGGAUCCUGUGGUCCCCACAGGGGCCACAGUCCCCCCUCUUCCUCCAGGCACCCCUUCCCACCAGGUCUCUCAGUGGUGAGGGCCCUGCGUGCCCCAUGCUUCAGCCUCCCAGCCCCACAGGGAGCCCAGCCCAGGGCCCAGCCUCCCCCCCCCCGCUGCAGAAUCCAUGGCCCCGCAAUGCCUGUCAGAGCUCGACUCCCUUUUUCUACUGCUUCUCUUAACUAGCCUGAAGCCCUGAAGUUAGUGCUGAUAAUUUCAGCAGUGCUGGGCUCAAGCUGACCAAACCCUCCCCGAGCCCACAGAAACCUUUAUAAAAGGCACGUGAUCUUA